CCUACGGGAGGCAGCAGUGGGGAAUCUUGCGCAAUGGGCGAAAGCCUGACGCAGCCAUGCCGCGUGAAUGAUGAAGGUCUUAGGAUUGUAAAAUUCUUUCACCGGGGACGAUAAUGACGGUACCCGGAGAAGAAGCCCCGGCUAACUUCGUGCCAGCAGCCGCGGUAAUACGAAGGGGGCUAGCGUUGCUCGGAAUUACUGGGCGUAAAGGGAGCGUAGGCGGAUAGUUUAGUCAGAGGUGAAAGCCCAGGGCUCAACCUUGGAAUUGCCUUUGAUACUGGCUAUCUUGAGUACGGAAGAGGUAUGUGGAACUCCGAGUGUAGAGGUGAAAUUCGUAGAUAUUCGGAAGAACACCAGUGGCGAAGGCGACAUACUGGUCCGUUACUGACGCUGAGGCUCGAAAGCGUGGGGAGCAAACAGGAUUAGAUACCCUGGUAGUCCACGCUGUAAACGAUGAGUGCUAGUUGUCGGCAUGCAUGCAUGUCGGUGACGCAGCUACGACAUAAGACACUCCGCCGUCGGGAGGUACGGUCGCGAGAAUAACUACAAGAAGUAGACGCGNGAGACGNGCGACGACGACGACGAGGGAGGAG
rnacentral:rRNA from 1 species